CGGGGUGAGUAAUGUCUGGGAAACUGCCUGAUGGAGGGGGAUAACUGCUGGAAACGGUAGCUAAUACCGCAUAACGUCGCAAGACCAAAGAGGGGGACCUUCGGGCCUCUUGCCAUCGGAUGUGCCCAGAUGGGAUUAGCUAGUAGGUGGGGUAACGGCUCACCUAGGUGACGAUCCCUAGCUGGUCUGAGAGGAUGACCAGCCACACUGGAACUGAGACACGGUCCAG
rnacentral:rRNA from 1 species